AUAGAAGAAAGAACCAGAAAGUAAUAGAAGAAGAAAGAAGAAUUUAGAGGGAAAGAAGAGAGAGAAGAGCAUAAAGAAACCUGGAAUUCUGGAAUACUCCCAUUGAUUUGUUCAGGCUUGUGACUCCAGCAAGAAGGAUUGGAAGCAAACCCAGCUCAGAAUAGGGCUCUGAUUCCAAUUUAUUACAUAACAGCUUGCACACUUAGUGAAACAAAGGAAUAAGGAGAGAAAGAGAAAUAGAUGAGAAAAGAGAUAGAAUGGAUGAGAAAAAAAAUAGAUUGGAUGAGAAGAGAAAGAGAAAAUUUUAGAGAUGAGAGAUAUCUUUGAUUA
rnacentral:misc_RNA from 1 species